rnacentral:siRNA from 1 species
GAGAAAGUGACAGCACCGCCCAAC